CCUACGGGAGGCAGCAGUAGGGAAUCUUCCACAAUGGACGAAAGUCUGAUGGAGCAACGCCGCGUGAGUGAAGAAGGGUUUCGGCUCGUAAAGCUCUGUUGGUAGUGAAGAAAGAUAGAGGUAGUAACUGGUCUUUAUUUGACGGUAAUUACUUAGAAAGUCACGGCUAACUACGUGCCAGCAGCCGCGGUAAUACGUAGGGGGCAAGCGUUGUCCGGAUUUAUUGGGCGUAAAGCGAGUGCAGGCGGUGUAAUAAGACGUAUGUG
rnacentral:rRNA from 1 species